AUACGUAGGUAGCGAGCGUUAUCCGGAAUUAUUGGGCGUAAAGGGCGCGUAGGCGGCAGGGCAUGUCAAGUGUGAAAUCUCCGGGCUCAACCCGGAAAGUGCGCUUGAAACUACCUUGCUUGAGUCUGGGAGAGGGAAUCGGAAUAUAGGGUGUAGCGGUGAAAUGCGUUGAUAUCCUAUAGAACACCGGAGGCGAAGGCGGAUUCCUUGAACAGUACUGACGCUGAGGCUCGAAAGCGUGGGGAGC
rnacentral:rRNA from 1 species